CAGGCAGGCCUAUGCUCGAAUACAUUAGCAUGGAAUAAUAGAAUAGGACGUGUGGUUCUAUUUUGUUGGUUUCUAGGACCGCCGUAAUGAUUAAUAGGGACAGUCGGGGGCAUCAGUAUUCAAUUGUCAGAGGUGAAAUUCUUGGAUUUAUUGAAGACUAACUACUGCGAAAGCAUUUGCCAAGGAUGUUUUCAUUAAUCAGGAACGAAAGUUAGGGGAUCGAAGACGAUCAGAUACCGUCGUAGUCUUAACCAUAAACUAUGCCGACUAGGGAUCGGACGGUGUUAUUUUUUGACCCGUUCGGCACCUUACGAGAAAUCAAAGUGCUUGGGCUCCAGGGGGAGUAUGGUCGCAAGGCUGAAACUUAAAGAAAUUGACGGAAGGGCACCACCAGGGGUGGAGCCUGCGGCUUAAUUUGACUCAACACGGGGAAACUCACCAGGUCCAGACACAAUGAGGAUUGACAGAUUGAGAGCUCUUUCUUGAUUUUGUGGGUGGUGGUGCAUGGCCGUUCUUAGUUGGUGGAGUGAUUUGUCUGCUUAAUUGCGAUAAC
rnacentral:rRNA from 1 species